GAUGAACGCUGGCGGCGUGCCUAAUACAUGCAAGUCGAGCGAACAGAUGAGGAGCUUGCUCCUCUGACGUUAGCGGCGGACGGGUGAGUAACACGUGGAUAACCUACCUAUAAGACUGGGAUAACUUCGGGAAACCGGAGCUAAUACCGGAGAAUAUAUUGAACCGCAUGGUUCAAUAGUGAAAUACGGUGUUGCUGUCACUUAUAGAUGGAUCCGCGCCGCAUUAGCUAGUUGGUAAGUUAACGGCUUACCAAGGCAACGAUGCGUAGCCGAACUGAGAGGGUGAUAGGCCACACUGGAACUGAGACACGGUCCAGGCUCCUACGGGAGGCAGCAGUAGGGAAUCUUCCGCAAUGGGCGAAAGUCUGACGGAGCAACGCCGCGUGAGUGAUGAAGGUCUUCGGAUCGUAAAACUCUGUUAUUAGGGAAGAACAAAUGUGUAAGUAACUAUGCACGUCUUGACGGUACCUAAUCAGAAAGCCACGGCUAACUACGUG
rnacentral:rRNA from 1 species